UAUCAUGCAGUCGAGCGGACAGAUGGGAGCUUGCUCCCUGAAGUUAGCGGCGGACGGGUGAGUAACACGUGGGCAACCUGCCUGUAAGACUGGGAUAACUUCGGGAAACCGGAGCUAAUACCGGAUAAUUCUUUCCUCUUCAUGGAGGAAAGCUGAAAGACGGUUUCGGCUGUCACUUACAGAUGGGCCCGCGGCGCAUUAGCUAGUUGGUGAGGUAACGGCUCACCAAGGCAACGAUGCGUAGCCGACCUGAGAGGGUGAUCGGCCACACUGGGACUGAGACACGGCCCAGACUCCUACGGGAGGCAGCAGUAGGGAAUCUUCCGCAAUGGACGAAAGUCUGACGGAGCAACGCCGCGUGAGUGAUGAAGGUUUUCGGAUCGUAAAACUCUGUUGUCAGGGAAGAACAAGUACCGGAGUAACUGCCGGUACCUUGACGGUACCUGGCCAGAAAGCCACGGCUAACUACGUGCCAGCAGCCGCGGUAAUACGUAGGUGGCAAGCGUUGUCCGGAAUUAUUGGGCGUAAAGCGCGCGCAGGCGGUUCCUUAAGUCUGAUGUGAAAGCCCACGGCUCAACCGUGGAGGGUCAUUGGAAACUGGGGAACUUGAGUGCAGAAGAGAAGAGCGGAAUUCCACGUGUAGCGGUGAAAUGCGUAGAGAUGUGGAGGAACACCAGUGGCGAAGGCGGCUCUUUGGUCUGUAACUGACGCUGAGGCGCGAAAGCGUGGGGAGCGAACAGGAUUAGAUACCCUGGUAGUCCACGCCGUAAACGAUGAGUGCUAAGUGUUAGAGGGUUUCCGCCCUUUAGUGCUGCAGCUANCGCAUUAAGCACUCCGCCUGGGGAGUACGGCCCCAAGGCUNAAAACUCAANGAAUUGACGGGGGCCCNCCCAAGCGGGGGAGCAUGUGNUUUAUUCNAAGCACCCGAAAACCUUAC
rnacentral:rRNA from 1 species